rnacentral:rRNA from 1 species
GACGAACGCUGGCGGCGUGCCUAAUACAUGCAAGUAGAACGCACAGUUUAUACCGUAGCUUGCUACACCAUAGACUGUGAGUUGCGAACGGGUGAGUAACGCGUAGGUAACCUGCCUGGUAGCGGGGGAUAACUAUUGGAAACGAUAGCUAAUACCGCAUAAUAUUAAUUAUUGCAUGAUAAUUAAUUGAAAGGUGCAAUUGCACCACUACCAGAUGGACCUGCGUUGUAUUAGCUAGUAGGUGAGGUAACGGCUCACCUAGGCGACGAUACAUAGCCGACCUGAGAGGGUGAUCGGCCACACUGGGACUGAGACACGGCCCAGACUCCUACGGGAGGCAGCAGUAGGGAAUCCUCGGCAAUGGACGAAAGUCUGACCGAGCAACGCCGCGUGAGUGAAGAAGGUUUUCGGAUCGUAAAGCUCUGUUGUAAGAGAAGAACGGGUGUGAGAGUGGAAAGUUCGCACUGUGACGGUAUCUUACCAGAAAGAGACGGCUAACUACGUG